UACAGAGGGGGCAAGCGUUGUUCGGAAUUACUGGGCGUAAAGGGCGCGUAGGCGGCCUUCUAAGUCGAACGUGAAAUCCCCGGGCUCAACCCGGGAACUGCGUCCGAUACUGGAAGGCUUGAAUUCGGGAGAGGGAUGCGGAAUUCCAGGUGUAGCGGUGAAAUGCGUAGAUAUCUGGAGGAACACCGGUGGCGAAGGCGGCAUCCUGGACCGGCAUUGACGCUGACGGCGCGAAAGCCAGGGGAGCAAAGCGGGAUUAAGCAAACCCCGGGUAGUCC
rnacentral:rRNA from 1 species